UGUUUAGUGACAUGUGUUUCAUCCCUUGAUUUAUGGGAUAGCUGGCUUCACUUCCUCUGUACUUCUUGAACCCAUGUCUCUAUUCCUUUUUCCUCCGCAUCGUUACUUCUAUGAGUUUUCACGGUGCUCUUUUUGUUUUGUUUUUUUUUUUUUUUUUGACUUUCCAUGACUUAUCAAUUAAGUUUUCUUGAUUUUUUGGUGUUAUGCAGUGUUUGGAGCAUUCAGAGGAAUCAUAUAGUAUGUCAUAUGAGGUUAUGAUGGUUUCAACUUUUUUCGGGCUGGCCAAUUUAUGAGGUACUCUAUGACUUACUCUUCUAUCAUUCAGGAGGUCCAAAGCUCUUUGAAGAUAUGCUUCUAGAUUGCUCAAAUUCUGCUGUAAUGACGUGCUAUGUCGCUCAAG